AUUGAACGCUGGCGGCAUGCCUUACACAUGCAAGUCGAACGGCAGCAUGAUCUAGCUUGCUAGAUUGAUGGCGAGUGGCGGACGGGUGAGUAAUACAUCGGAACGUGCCCUGUAGUGGGGGAUAACUAGUCGAAAGAUUAGCUAAUACCGCAUACGACCUGAGGGUGAAAGUGGGGGACCGCAAGGCCUCAUGCUAUAGGAGCGGCCGAUGUCUGAUUAGCUAGUUGGUGAGGUAAAGGCUCACCAAGGCGACGAUCAGUAGCUGGUCUGAGAGGACGAUCAGCCACACUGGGACUGGGACACGGCCCAGACUCCUACGGGAGGCAGCAGUGGGGAAUUUUGGACAAUGGGGGCAACCCUGAUCCAGCAAUGCCGCGUGUGUGAAGAAGGCCUUCGGGUUGUAAAGCACUUUUGUCCGGAAAGAAAUCGCACUUACUAAAAUUAGGUGUGGAUGACGGUACCGGAAGAAUAAGGACCGGCUAACUACGUGCCAGCCGCCGCAGUAAAAC
rnacentral:rRNA from 1 species